rnacentral:rRNA from 1 species
UGGGGAAUAUUGGACAAUGGGCGAAAGCCUGAUCCAGCAAUGCCGCGUGUGUGAAGAAGGUCUUCGGAUUGUAAAGCACUUUCGACGGGGACGAUGAUGACGGUGCCCGUAGAAGAAGCCCCGGCUAACUUCGUGCCAG